rnacentral:rRNA from 1 species
UCUUGCGUUAGCAUCAGCUACUUGCCAUUCAUCUGAACAGUGGCUGACUGUUCAACAAUGGUUSUUKGGCAAGGACUGGUCAUUCUGAUCUUUCUUUUCACAGUGAACAACUGAUUCAGAACUGAAGCGCAAAAGGGGAAUCCGACUGUUUAAUUAAAACAAAGCAUUGUGAUGGCUUCUGAAUGUGUUGAUGCAAUGUGAUUUCUGCCCAGUGCUCUGAAUGUCAAGGUGAUGAAAUUCAAAUAAGCGCGGGUAAACGGCGGGAGUAACUAUGACUCUCUUAAGGUAGCCAAAUGCCUCGUCAUCUAAUUAGUGACGCGCAUGAAUGGAUUAACGARAUUCCUACUGUCCUUACUUCCUAUUUAGCGAAACCACAGCCAAGGGAACGGGCUUGGGUUGAUCASCGGGGAAAGAAGACCCUGUUGAGCUUGACUCUAGUCUGACAUUGUGAAAUGACUUAGGAGGUGUAGAAUAAGUGGGASUGCUGUGCAAUCAUGAAAUACCACUACUCUUGAUGUUAUUUUACUUAUUCUGUGAUGCGGGUGCUUGCUGUGGCAAAUUGUUGUGUGAAUGUGAAUUGAAGUUUGUGUACCUGUGUGGAAAMCWUAUUWAGGWAGGRAKUUKGGYKGGGGSGSCACAUYUGUUAAAUGAUAACGCAGGKGUCYUAAGGWAASCUCAAUGARAACARAAAUYUUAUGUGGACUAAAAGGGGAAAAGCUUGCUUGAUUUUCAUUUUCAGUGCAAAUMMRAMUGUGAAAACAUGGCCUAUCGAUCCUUUAGACANANGUCAGCUAGAGGUGUCAGAAAAGUUACCACAGGGAUAACUGGCUUGKGCAGCCAAGCGUUC